rnacentral:rRNA from 1 species
GACGAACGCUGGCGGCGUGCUUAACACAUGCAAGUCGAACGGAAAGGCCCUGCAUUUGUGGGGUGCUCGAGUGGAGAACGGGUGAGUAACACGUGAGUAACCUGCCCUUGACUUUGGGAUAACUUCAGGAAACUGGGGCUAAUACCGGAUAGGAGCUCCUGCUGCAUGGUGGGGGUUGGAAAGUUUCGGCGGUUGGGGAUGGAAUCGCGGCCUAUCAGUUUGGUGGUGUGGUAGUGGCUUACCAAGGCUUUGCCGGGUAGCCGGCCUGAGAGGGUGACCGGCCACACUGGGAUUGGGCUACGGCCCAGACUCCUACGGUAGGCAGCAGUGGAGAAGAGUGCACAAUGGGCGGAGGCCUAGUGCAGCAACGCCGCGUGCGGUAUGACGUCCUUCGGGUUGUAAACCGCUUUCGCCUGUGACGAAGCGUUAGUGACGGUAAUGGGUAAAGAAGCACCGGCUAACUACGUG